UAACGCGUGGGAAUCUGCCCUCAGGUGGGGAAUAACGACGGGAAACUGUCGCUAAUACCGCAUACGCCCUUCGGGGGAAAGAUUUAUCGCCGAUAGAUGUGCCCGCGUACGAUUAGCUAGUUGGUGAGGUAAUGGCUCACCAAGGCUACGAUCGUUAGCUGGUCUGAGAGGAUGAUCAGCCACACUGGGACUGAGACACGGCCCAGACUCCUACGGGAGGCAGCAGUGGGGAAUAUUGGACAAUGGGCGAAAGCCUGAUCCAGCAAUGCCGCGUGAGUGAUGAAGGCCUUAGGGUUGU
rnacentral:rRNA from 1 species